GUGCUCUUUGACAGCACAUAUACUAAAGUUGAAAUGAUACAGAGAUUAUCAUGGCCCCUGUGCAAGGAUGACAUGCAAAUUUGUGAAGCAUUUCUUAUUUUU